rnacentral:rRNA from 1 species
UACGAAGGGGGCUAGCGUUGUUCGGAAUUACUGGGCGUAAAGCGCACGUAGGCGGGUCGUUAAGUCGGGGGUGAAAUCCUGGAGCUCAACUCCAGAACUGCCCUCGAAACUGGCGAUCUUGAGUUCGGGAGAGGUGAGUGGAACUGCGAGUGUAGAGGUGAAAUUCGUAGAUAUUCGCAAGAACACCAGUGGCGAAGGCGGCUCACUGGCCCGAUACUGACGCUGAGGUGCGAAAGCGUGGGGAGCAAACAGG